UUAAAAAGGUCAAGCUACAAAGGGCGCAUGGUGAAUGCCUUGGCAUCAGGAGCCGAUGAAGGACGUGAUAAGCUGCGAUAAGCUUCGGGUAGGCGCACAUAGCCAGAGAUCCGGAGAUUUCCGAAUGGGGAAACCCGCAUGAGAAACCUCAUGCAUCGUAAAGUGAAUACAUAGCUUUAUGAAGGAACACCUAGGGAACUGAAACAUCUAAGUACCUAGAGGAAGAGAAAGAAAAAUCGAUUUUCUUAGUAGCGGCGAGCGAAAAGGAAAGAGCCCAAACCAGAGAUUUAUCUCUGGGGUUGCGGACAGAACAUAACGUGAAAUUAUGAUUAACCGAACACAACUGGAAAGUUGGACCGUAGGAGGUAAUAGUCCUGUAAGUAAAAGUCAUAAUGAUCAGUUCUGCACCAGAGUACCACGAGACACGUGAAACCUUGUGGGAAGCAGGGAGGACCACCUCCCAAGGCUAAAUACUACCUGAUGACCGAUAGUGAAGCAGUACCGUGAGGGAAAGGUGAAAAGAACCCCGGGAGGGGAGUGAAAUAGAACCUGAAACCAUGUGCCUACAACCGAUCAAAGCACCUUAUGUGUGUGAUGAUGUGCUUUUUGUAGAACGAGCCAACGAGUUACGGUAUGUAGCGAGGUUAAGUACUUAAGGUACGGAGCCGAAGGGAAACCGAGUCUUAAUAGGGCGACUAGUUGCAUGCUGUAGACCCGAAACCGGGUGACCUAUCCAUGGCCAGGUUGAAGCGAGGGUAAAACCUCGUGGAGGACCGAACCACGUUGCUGUUGAAAAAGCAUGGGAUGAGCUGUGGGUAGCGGUGAAAUUCCAAUCGAACUCGGAUAUAGCUGGUUCUCCUCGAAAUAGCUUUAGGGCUAGCCUCAAGGUUGAGAAAUACGGAGGUAGAGCACUGAAUAUCCUAGGGGGCAUUGCGCUUACCGAAGAUUAUCAAACUCCGAAUGCCGUUAUUUUAUACUUGGGAGUCAGACUGUGGGUAAUAAGAUUCAUAGUCGAGAGGGCAACAGCCCAGAUCGUCAGCUAAGGUCCCUAAAUGUAAGUUAAGUGGUAAAGGAUGUGGGAUUGCAUAGACAACCAGGAUGUUGGCUUAGAAGCAGCCACUCAUUUAAAGAGUGCGUAAUAGCUCACUGGUCGAGUGAUCCUGCGCCGAAGAUUACCGGGGCUAAAACUUACUACCGAAGCUACGAUAUCAUUUAUGAUAGGUAGGGGAGCUUCCUAUGCAGGCUGAAGCAUGACCGUAAGGACAUGUGGACAGUAUAGGAGUGAGAAUGUUGGCAUGAGUAGCGAGACGUGGGUGAGAAUCCCACGGGCCGUAAACCCAAGGUUUCCAGGGGAAGGUUCGUCCGCCCUGGGUUAGUCGGGACCUAAGCCGAGGCCGAAAGGCGUAGGUGAUGGACAACAGGUUGAGAUUCCUGUACCACCGAUAAUCGCUUGAGAGAAGGAAUGACACAGUAGGAUAAGCUAACCACACUGUUGGUUAUGUGUGGCUAAGUACUGAGGCAGUCAAGGUAGGCAAAUCCGCCUUGAUAAUGCUGGGGUACGAUGGGGAGCGAAAUUAAGUAGCGAAGUAGCUGAUUUCACACUGUCGAGAAAAGUUUCUAUCGAGAUUAAAGGUGCCCGUACCGCAAACCGACACAGGUGGGUGAGGAGAGUAUCCUAAGGCCAGCGAGAGAACUGUUGUUAAGGAACUCGGCAAAAUGACCCCGUAACUUAGGGAGAAGGGGUGCCACGUUAGGGUUAACGCCCGAGGUGGCCGCAGAGAAUAGGCCCAAGCGACUGUUUACCAAAAACACAGGUUUCUGCUAAGUCGCAAGACGAUGUAUAGGAGCUGACGCCUGCCCGGUGCUGGAAGGUUAAGGGGAUCUGUUAGGAUUUAUCCGAAGCAGUGAACUUAAGCCCCAGUAAACGGCGGCCGUAACUAUAACGG
rnacentral:rRNA from 1 species